ensembl:scaRNA
GGUCGAUGAUGAUUGGUAAAAGGUCUGAUUGCACUGAAUGUCACAGUCCCUUCCUUGCCCUCACUCCCAGCAGCCCCUUUUUACCCCCAGCACAAUAAGUCAUGUGUGUGGGAUGGUGGAGCUGCUGAUAACCAGGGAUUUUGUCAGUGUGUGUUUCGGAGAGUGAAAGAUUCACGGCUGACGAGUAUCCAACAGAACGUGUUACUCAGGAGCUUGAUGAGUGGCAGGCAGGGUGUGACAGUGCAUGAUCUCAAGUUUUCAAUCUGAGACC